GCUCAAAUUUGAAACUCUCUCUGGGCGAAUUGUAGUUUGAAGAAGCGUUUUCGGCACGACGUUGGUACAAGUUCUUUGGAACAAGACAUCUAGAGGGUGAAAAUCCCGUCUUUGUCCAAUCUUGCGGCUUUGUGAUACGUUUUCCAAGAGUCGGUUUGUUUGGGAAUCAGACCAAAAAGGGAGGUAAAUACCUUCUAAAGCUAAAUAUUGGCGAGAGACCGAUAGCGAACAAGUACCGUGAGGGAAAGAUGAAAAGAACUUUGAAAAGAGAGUGAAACAGUGCGUGAAAUUGUCAAAAGGGAAACGUUUGAAAGCAGUAUUGCGGCCAGGAUUUCAGCCUCGGUGUAUUGUCCUGGUGGCGAGUCAACAUCAGUUCGGUUUGGAGCAAAAAGCCGUGUGAAGGUAGCCCUUUGGGUAUUAUAGCGCAUGGUCGUACUCUAGACGGGACUGAGGACAGCAGCGUUUUUGGCUUUGCACACUCGCGCUUGGGAUGUUGACGAAAUGGUUUUAAGCGACCCGUCUUGAAACACGGACCAAGGAGUCUAACAUAUAUGCGAGUAUUUGGGUGGCAAACCCUUGUGCGCAAUGAAAGUGAAAAGGUGGGAUCAUUGAGCACCAUCGACCGCGCCAGAUUCCGAUCUCGGCGUGAGUAUGAGCAUAGAUGCUGGGACCCGAAAGAUGGUGAACUAUGCCUGAAUAGGGUGAAGCCAGGGAAACUCUGGUGGAGGCUCGUAGCGGUUCUGACGUGCAAAUCGAUCGUCAAAUUUGGGUAUAGGGGCAUAAAGCUAUCAGACCNUNUNNAACUGGUUCCCNCCA
rnacentral:rRNA from 1 species